rnacentral:snRNA from 1 species
AGAAUUGCAGAGACUACUGACAGCGUCAAGGAAUUGAAAAAUGUGAUUCCCCACGAAGGUGGGUUUCCCUGGGUGAGGCUUAUCCAUUGCACUCCGGAUGUGCUGACCCCUGUGAUUUCCCCAAAUGUAGGAGACUCGGCUGCAUACUUUGUGGUAGUGGGGGACUGUGUUCGCGCUCUCCCCUG